rnacentral:misc_RNA from 1 species
GUGAAUUUUAACUUGUUCUCCAGCACAUACCAUGUGCACAAGUCCAAGGAGCUCCUCCAAAGAUGGCCUCAUAAAGCACACGUGUAGCCUGUCUAAAUUAUUUGGGAGCACCGGAUUGUCACUGUUGCUAGUUAAUAUCAUGGGCCGCUUUGCAGUCUCCGCAAGCUGUUGAAUGGUAGAGACAAAACCACGGUCUUCACAAAGAGCGGUAUCCACAUCCUCAAAAAGAAUUAGAGUAUUAGUUUCACCCUGAUAAUUAGCAGUUAUCUCCUCCCUGAAGACUUGUUUUCUUUGUAAUCCAGUGGCAUUUGGAGCAUUUUCCUCAUCAGACAAAGGUAUCGCUUCAAUAACUCCACCGCCAGACACUAAUUUGUCCUCCGAAUACACUGGAUCCUUUUGCAUCCGUUGAAGCCAGUGGGAUUCUACAGCCUCCCCAAAUCUCUGUUUUACAAGAGCUCCGUUUCGCCAAUCUGAUGCAUUAACCUCAAUCACUUGAAAUCCCUCUUCUUUGGCACAGGCGUAAAUUGCAG